CCCGGGGAACUGAAACAUCUAAGUACCCGGAGGAAAGGAAAUCAAUAGAGACUCCGCUAGUAGUGGCGAGCGAACGCGGACCAGCCGAGCCAUGAGAAUGACCAGAACCGUUUGGAAAGACGGGCCAUAGUGGGUGACAGCCCCGUAUGGGAAGUUCGAUUGGACGUAUUAAGUAGGGCGGGACACGUGAAAUCCUGUCUGAAGAUCGGGGGACCACCCCCGAAGGCUAAGUACUCCUUACUGACCGAUAGCGAACCAGUACCGUGAGGGAAAGGUGAAAAGCACCCCGACGAGGGGAGUGAAACAGUUUCUGAAACCGGACGCCUACAAGCAGUCGGAGGGGCCUUGAGCCCUGACGGCGUACCUUUUGUAUAAUGGGUCAACGACUUGGUCUCACGAGCAAGCUUAAGCCGGUAGGUGUAGGCGCAGCGAAAGCGAGUCUUAAAAGGGCGUUUAGUUCGUGGGAUCAGACCCGAAACCAGAUGAUCUAGCCAUGUGCAGG
rnacentral:rRNA from 1 species